GAAUAUAUACAGUACUGCUCUGGACACACCUCUAUUGGAUUUAAUAUACAGUCCUUAUCAACAUCAACUUUCAGCUAUGGAAUCGUCCUGGAGGCCAGAAGUCCGAGACCAAGGUGUCAGCACUGAGGAUAAUCUGUCCAGGCUCUGUCCCAGUCCUGCUGAUCUGCUGACAAUCUUUGCUGUUCCUUGUGCUGAAUAAUAUUCUAUCAUCUGGAUUUCCUACAGUUUAUCCAUUCUCCUACAAAAGGGCAUCUUGGAUCACUUUUAAUCAUCUUUCCAAUCUUCUCUGAUGGAGAAACAAACAAUAAACAAAGCCAGCUGCUGACUUCUGAACUCA